AGAGCCCGGGCGGGCGCCGCCUGUGAGUGGCGCCAGGAUGGAUGUGCCCAGCGCAGCCUCCGCGCACUCUCCUGGGAACAAUGAGACCCAACAAAGGGUUCUCAGCUCUCCCACGUGGUGAACCGCGUCCUUCGCUCGCUUGGCAAAAAGGCGCCAGGCACGCUGUCUCCAGGGAAAACCUCAUCAGUCUCCUGACCCUACUUCCUUGGGCUCAGACAUCCCCCAAUCAACCCUGGAAACCGCGCAGGCCCAGAAACCGUAGUCCAGAAAUGACCCCCGAGGAAAACCCCAGCCCCCGAGGCACUCUCUUGCAUAGGACACUGCAGGUUGCUCAGCAAGAGGCAAGGUGAUGAAGCCAGCAGGGGUUUGGCUCCUUGGGACUGUUCUUCCCGGAAGCUAGCUGCACCAAGGACAAGUCAAGACAGCCUGAGGAGCCGCCGUCCGGGUCCUGGUCCCGUUUGGAGCCGUGCUGCUUCUGUUCCUUUUUCCUCUGCCUCCCUUGACCUCUCUGGUUCUGUCUCCACGGUGGAGGAAGUGAGGCAACCAGAGAGGCCUCAGGGCCAGAGGGAAGGGGCAGGUGCUUGUCGGGGAAGCCGUGGCCCCGGAGGCUCCUCCUUGGCAGGCGGUGGGUGUGGGUAGGAGGCCCGGAGCCGCUCGACAAAUGUGCCUCACAGGCUUCUGGCUCCUACCAGAACACCGCACAUGUGCCACGUUAGCAUCCUGCCCACCAGGAGGAGGGAACAGCAAGAUGCCGUGUGAGGAAGAAACAAACCCAAUCCAGCAUUUCAGACGCUUUUAAAAAUAGCAACUCUGGGAGGGUAUUUCAGCUCCCAUUUUUAUCAGAUUUAUAUGGCCGGACCUUAGAGCUGAGCUGUUCCCAGGGUUCUCAAUAGCAGGCAGGGGACAUCACUGUUGGAGUCUUAGAAACCUGCCGCUAGGCCAAGGCAUUCCAGGAAUCUUUAGGCUGGAGGAGAUCCCAAGAAGUCAUUGCGUGCAGCCCUUGCCUCUGCUUGGGGCCACAGUCAAUUAACCACAGACAGUUUAUGGCUUGCUUUUUUUUUUUUUUUUAAAGAUUUUAUUUAUUUAUUU